rnacentral:piRNA from 1 species
UGAGGCCUUUAUGUGCCUGAUGUAGCCU